rnacentral:rRNA from 1 species
GAUGAACGCUGGCGGCGUGCCUAAUACAUGCAAGUCGAGCGAACAGACGAGGAGCUUGCUCCUCUGACGUUAGCGGCGGACGGGUGAGUAACACGUGGAUAACCUACCUAUAAGACUGGGAUAACUUCGGGAAACCGGAGCUAAUACCGGAUAAUAUAUUGAACCGCAUGGUUCAAUAGUGAAAGACGGUUUUGCUGUCACUUAUAGAUGGAUCCGCGCCGCAUUAGCUAGUUGGUAAGGUAACGGCUUACCAAGGCAACGAUGCGUAGCCGACCUGAGAGGGUGAUCGGCCACACUGGAACUGAGACACGGUCCAGACUCCUACGGGAGGCAGCAGUAGGGAAUCUUCCGCAAUGGGCGAAAGCUUGACGGAGCAACGCCGCGUGAGUGAUGAAGGUCUUCGGAUCGUAAAACUCUGUUAGUAGGGAAGAACAAAGGUGUAAGUAACUAUGCACGUCUUGACGGUACCUAAUCAGAAAGCCACGGCUAACUACGUG